CCUUCAUCUCUUUACAUGUAACGUUUUUCUCCACCAAGCUUCUUUUGACACCCAAGCUGUGUUUGGGUACCUUGUCAGUGUGCAACCCAAACCCCCAACCUUGCUGUGGUAACCCAGGAACUUACUGGCUGUGUUUUGUAAAAGGCUGUUAACCGCUCAAACUCUCUCAGUGGAUUGACAGUUCUGUGAGCUCGGGGACCCGCGUCUGUCAAAUUCCCCCUGCAGAAUCAGCAUAAUGCAGGACAUAUGAUAGGUAUUGGGAUCCAAACUUUCCGCCUGGCCGUAGGAUGGAAAAGGACAGACAGCCUACUGGCCUUGAUGAGGCCCUGAGGGACAAGAUCAAACGGGGACUGAGAGUCAGGUGGCCUAACGCAGAGGAGUUAUCCAUAAAGGGCAGAAAUCGAUGCCGCAGAGCUGGAGAGAAGGCUCAGCCACUGAGAACACUGGCUGCUUUUGCAGAGGACCUGGGUUGGAUUCCCAGCACCCAGAAGGCAGCUCACAACCACCUGUCACUCCAGUUCGGGGAAAUCUGACACCUUCUGUUCUCUGAGAACAGGCAACAAGUGGAGCACAGACAUGGGUCAAGGGAACCCAGCACGUCAAGACGAUUACCUUCAGACUCCUUGUUCUUCCGACACUUAAACCUUAGACUGACCACACUGACGAGGACGAUCACCACAACCACCAGGAUGACAAUGAAGCUGAUAACACCUGAGCAGG